GCUUGUCUCAAAGAUUAAGCCAUGCAUGUCUCAGCAUAAGCCUUUUCACGGUGAAACUGCAAAUGGCUCAUUAAAGCAGUUACAAUUUAUUUGAUGGUGACUGUUACAUGGAUAACUGUGGUAAUUCUAGAGCUAAUACAUGCAUCAUCCCCCAUCUCGGGGUGUAUUUAUUAGAUGGAAACCAAUGCGGGGCAACCCGGAAUAUGGUGAAUCAUAAUAACUGUCGUAUCGAGCAAUCGAAGCGCCAUACAAGUUUCUGCCCUAUCAGCUUUGGAUGGUAGGGUAUUGGCCUACCAUGGCUUUAACGGGUAACGGAGAAUUAGGGUUCGAUUCCGGAGAGGGAGCCUGAGAAACGGCUACCACAUCCAAGGAAGGCAGCAGG
rnacentral:rRNA from 1 species